AGUAUCCAUUGGAGGGCAAGUCUGGUGCCAGCAGCCGCGGUAAUUCCAGCUCCAAUAGCGUAUAUUAAAGUUGUUGCGGUUAAAAAGCUCGUAGUUGGAUUUGUGUCCCACGCUGUCGGUUCAUCGCUCGUCGGUGUCUAACUGGCAUGGUUCGUGGGACGUCCUGCCGGUGGUGGCGAGCCGAAAGCGUGCGGCCGCCGUGGUUAGCCCACGUGCGGUUCCUGCGCGCCGUAGGCGGACCCCGAUGAAAUCCUACCGCGGUGCUCUUCAUCGAGUGUCGAGGUGGGCCGGCACGUUUACUUUGAACAAAUUAGAGUGCUUAAAGCAGGCCGGCUGCGCCUGAAUACUGUGUGCAUGGAAUAAUGGAAUAGGACCUCGGUUCUAUUUUGUUGGUUUUCGGAACCCGAGGUAAUGAUUAAUAGGGACAGGCGGGGGCAUUCGUAUUGCGACGUUAGAGGUGAAAUUCUUGGAUCGUCGCAAGACGGACCGAAGCGAAAGCAUUUGCCAAGUAUGUUUUCAUUAAUCAAGAACGAAAGUUAGAGGUUCGAAGGCGAUCAGAUACCGCCCUAGUUCUAACCAUAAACGAUGCCAGCUAGCGAUCCGCCGAAGUUCCUCCGAUGACUCGGCGGGCAGCUCCCGGGAAACCAAAGCUUUUGGGUUCCGGGGGAAGUAUGGUUGCAAAGCUGAAACUUAAAGGAAUUGACGGAAGGGCACCACCAGGAGUGGAGCCUGCGGCUUAAUUUGACUCAACACGGGAAACCUCACCAGGCCCGGACACCGGAAGGAUUGACAGAUUGAGAGCUCUUUCUGAUUCGGUG
rnacentral:rRNA from 1 species